rnacentral:lncRNA from 1 species
ACAGGCUGUAUGGGAAGCAUGGCUGGGGAGGCCUCAUGAAACUUAUAAUCAUGGUGCAAGGUGAAGAGGAAGGAGACAUGCUUUACAAGGCCACAGCAGGAGGAAGACAGUGAAGGGGGCGGUGCUACAUACUACAAACAACCAGAUCUUGCCUUGGGGAUUGAAUGGAACUUCACCACUGACUUUCCUGGGCCUCCAGCUUGUAGAUAC